GUUGACUUCCCUCUUUUAAACAGUCACCGGCAGGAAGAAGCGCGACUGAUUUUACUAUAUCUGUGUUUUCAUUUCAGAAACUUGAUUCUCCUGCUGUAUCCCAUGCGAGCUGUCUAUGAAAGGCCAAUAACGGGGUGCGAAGGUACAGGUUCAAGGCUCAGCAGAGAUGGUAAAAGAGCAAACGGUGUGAGUUAUAAUUAAACAUGCCCGGCAGAGCCAGGCUCUGAGCCCGGACUACCCCCGGAGAGAUGCAGAGGUCGCUUUCUUGCUCUUCCUGGUUCUGCAACUUCUCUACGGCGGAGGAGAGACUAGACACAAGUGCGGAGUACACAGCGGGUUCAAGAAGGUCCUUGCCCUCGCAGAUAUGAAAGGGAAAGAGCCUGUUCUCUUAUAGACCUCUUUUAUUGCUGCCUCUUCUUCCCUUCCUGGGGAAGCUUCUGGAACCUGCUGCGGAGCUUCACAGACGCUGAUCCCCUGAUGGGCUGGGUGACUCACGAAAGGGUUGCGCUCAUCAGCCACACUUGAAGAAUAAUUAUCAGAAUAAUUUAUCAAAAUUCUUCAAAUUUAAUAUUUGAAGAAUAAUUAUCAGAAUAAUUUAUCAUUACAUAAGAAGCUGUAACACCAGAGGCUUCCAUGACUUUUGCCCAAGGUCACAGAGAUAGUAGGAGUAGGAGGCUUCUGUGACUUGCCUAAGGUCACAGAGAUAGCAGGAGUUGAGCAGGGAGCCGCAGUCAAAUCUAUUGACCCUAAGCCCACUACACCAACAUUGCAACACUACAACCACAUUGCAAGGUGGCUCUCCUUGUCCUCUGCAUGGGGAUUGGAGGGUGAGAUAUAACCCAUUUAGCCUAGGGCCCAUUGAGAAAGAGGAACCUCAAUUUUUGGUUCCUCUUGUCUCUGGGUCCCAACUCAUUCUGAAUUUUCCAGUAACAAACAACCUGAUUAAAGGUAGAGUCAGGAGCCAAGAACCUCUGUAAUUCCAAAAUAGUGUUCUGAAAGCCUUUAUAAAGUUGGAUAUCUGAAGAAUUUUCUAUGGAAAAUUAGGGAAUUUGAUCCUGAGACCAAGAAUUUAAAAUUAAAGAAUAAAAUGGCUUAACCAUAAUCUAUACAUGAGCAUCUCUGUUUCCCAUUUGUAACAUGGGUGAGGAAGACACAAAGAUAAGAGUUAUUAAAGAGGUGGGCAUUGUCACAUGCAUCCACUCAGAUGUGUGCAUUCACACAAAUUCUGGCAAUUUUACACUGUCCUGGCCCACUUUCUAAGGGAUAGGAAGGCUGCGUUGGGACCUUAAUGCACACAUAGAAAGGUGAAUGCCCCUGAGAGAAUUAAGUCAAUCAAUUAUUGCCCAUAAUGAGAUUUCUGUAAUCAAUGCAAUGAAUAGCCCAGAAUAGACUCCCAAUUAAUAAUUUCUGAAAGACUAAGAGAUGGGAGUUGCUAAGCAAUUUCCAUAAUGUUUUGGAGACCACCUUUGACAAACUGGGCCUGUACUUAAGGUGUGGCCCUAUAACCUGAAUGUUUACUAGAUUUAAAACUGCAAGAACCCCUAUUUUCACAAGGUCCCUCCCAUGGCUUCUAGAGACUUCUCUCGGCACACUUUGGGAAAUCUCCCAAUUCUUUCUCCUAGGGAAAGGAAUCUGAGAAACUGGGAGACAGAGCAGGAAGAAAGGAAACAAACAUCUGAGAAAAAUAAGUAAAUAUGGGAAUAAAAGUCUAAAAAUAAAACAGUGGAAAGGUUAUGAGGAAAGUACAAGGGGGCAGAGUCCAACUCAGAAGAAACAAACUAAGACAUGAAGAAUUUUCAAGGGUAAAAAAAAAAAAGGUCAAUUUUUAAAAGAUUGUGUUAAUAGACUAGCCGCCCAAAAAAUCUUAUGAAGAUAUCAAGAUACAAAGAAGUUUCAGAUGAAGAAGGAAA
rnacentral:lncRNA from 1 species